rnacentral:rRNA from 1 species
GAUGAACGCUGGCGGCGUGCCUAAUACAUGCAAGUCGAGCGAACAGACGAGGCGCUUGCUCCUCUGACGUUAGCGGCGGACGGGUGAGUAACACGUGGAUACCCUACCUAUAAGACUGGGAUAACUUCGGGAAACCGGAGCUAAUAUCGGAUAAUAUAUUGAACCGCAGGGUUCAAUAGUGAAAGACGGUUUUGCUGUCACUUAUAGAUGGAUCCGCGCCGCAUUAGCUAGUUGGUAAGGUAACGGCUUACCAAGGCAACGAUGCGUAGCCGACCUGAGAGGGUGAUCGGCCACACUGGAACUGAGACACGGUCCAGACUCCUACGGGAGGCAGCAGUAGGGAAUCUUCCGCAAAGGGCGAAAGCCUGACGGAGCAACGCCGCGUGAGUGAUGAAGGUCUUCGGAUCGUAAAACUCUGUUAUUAGGGAAGAACAAAUGUGUAAGUAACUAUGCACGUCUUGACGGUACCUAAUCAGAAAGCCACGGCUAACUACGUG